AUUUCUCUUCAGGGCAAGGUGUAACUCCUUACCGGUGGUAAAGCCCACGAGCCAUGUGCUGAUUUGGUGAAACUCCAAAGCCGACAGUAAUAGAAUAUAUAUAUUCUUAAGUCUGGAUGAAAGAUAGAGGAAA
rnacentral:ncRNA from 2 species